CAUAUCAAUAAGCGGAGGAAAAGAAACUAACAAGGGAUUCCCCCUAGUAACUGCGAGUGAAGCGGGAAAAGCUCAAAUUUAAAAUCUGGCGGUCUUUGGCUGUCCGAGUUGUAAUCUAGAGAAGUGUUAUCCGCGCCGGACCGUGUACAAGUCUCCUGGAAUGGAGCGUCAUAGAGGGUGAGAAUCCCGUCUUUGACACGGACUACCGGGGCUUUGUGAUGCGCUCUCAAAGAGUCGAGUUGUUUGGGAAUGCAGCUCAAAAUGGGUGGUAAAUUCCAUCUAAAGCUAAAUAUUGGCGAGAGACCGAUAGCGAACAAGUACCGUGAGGGAAAGAUGAAAAGAACUUUGGAAAGAGAGUUAAACAGUACGUGAAAUUGCUGAAAGGGAAACGCUUGAAGUCAGUCGCGUUGUCCAGGGAUCAACCUUGCUUUUGCUUGGUGCACUUUCUGGUUGACGGGUCAGCAUCAAUUUUGACUAUUGGAAAAAGAUUAGGGGAAUGUGGCAUCUUUGGAUGUGUUAUAGCCCUUGGUUGCAUACAAUGGUUGGGAUUGAGGAACUCAGCACGCCGCAAGGCCGGGUUUUUAACCACGUACGUGCUUAGGAUGCUGGCAUAAUGGCUUUAAUCGACCCGUCUUGAAACACGGACCAAGGAGUCUAACAUGCCUGCGAGUGUUUGGGUGGAAAACUCGAGCGCGUAAUGAAAGUGAAAGUUGAGAUCCCUGUCGUGGGGAGCAUCGACGCCCGGACCAGACCUUUUGUGACGGUUCCGCGGUAGAGCAUGUAUGUUGGGACCCGAAAGAUGGUGAACUAUGCCUGAAUAGGGUGAAGCCAGAGGAAACUCUGGUGGAGGCUCGUAGCGAUUCUGACGUGCAAAUCGAUCGUCAAAUUUGGGUAU
rnacentral:rRNA from 1 species